GAUGGACGCUGGCGGCGUGCCUAAUACAUGCAAGUCGAGCGCGAAGAUCAGGAGCUUGCUCCUGAGAUUCGAGCGGCGGACGGGUGAGUAACACGUAGGCAACCUACCCUUGAGAUUGGGAUAACUACCGGAAACGGUAGCUAAUACCGGAUACGACAUUCCUGCAUAAGUAAGAAUGUUAAAAGGCGGAUUUAUCUGCCGCUCAUGGAUGGGCCUGCGGUGCAUUAGCUAGUUGGUGAGAUAGUAGCUCACCAAGGCGACGAUGCAUAGCCGACCUGAGAGGGUGAUCGGCCACACUGGGACUGAGACACGGCCCAG
rnacentral:rRNA from 1 species